AUUUAUAUAGUUUAAUAAAAACAUUAUAUUUUCAAUAUAAAAAUAAAAUUUUAUAUUUUUAUAAAUA
rnacentral:tRNA from 1 species